AGGCCACCCACAAACGUUUUCAUGUAAGACUGCGGGUCUCGCUGGUCGUUGGGCGAAGACAGCGCCCCUUAGGGGCUGGAGUCGUACGUUCCCUUCUUAACUGAUGGCAUUCGACAAACCAAAUCAAAUGCACAGUUGGUGGUGGCUGCAUGAAGCUGAGGGCUUGAUGGCUGUAACAUCUUUUGUUUACGAAUACGACAUUCUUCGUCCACAGUUUUGGCCAUGGGGCAUGUGGGAUCUUAGUUUCCCUGACCAGGGAUCGAACCCGCGCCCCCUGCAGUGGAAGCACUGGAAGCGCAGCGUCUUACCCACUGAACCACCAGAGAAGUCCCUCAUCUUCCUUUAAAAAGGUAAGAAAGAUCAAAGCCAAAAGAUUUGUUUCAGGAACAGCCAGCAGCCCAGUUCCUAAAACCCAUAUUCUUUUUUUUUUUUUUUUUUUUGCAGUACGCGGGACUCUCCCUGUUGUGGCCUCUCCCGUUGCGGAGCACAGGCUCCGGACGCGCAGGCUCAGCGGCCAUGGCUCACGGGCCCAGCCGCUCCGCGGCAUGUGGGAUCUUCCCGGACUGGGGCACGAACCCGUGUCGCCUGCAGCGGCAGGCGGACUCUCAACCACUGCGCCACCAGGGAAGCCCUAAAACCCAUAUUCUUAAUCAAUGAACGAUGCUGCUUCCCACACACAUUAGCAAAGAAUUGAAGGAAGAUAAUAUCUGGGAAUUUAAAUCAGGGCUUCUCAACAUCAGCACUAUUGACAUUUGGGGCUGGGAAUUCUUCGUAGUGGGGGUUGUCCUGUCCAUUGUAGGAUGUUUAGCAGCAUCCUUGACACCUGUCCAUUAGAUACUAGAAACUGAAACCAAGCGGGGCCUUGUGGGGCUCCCGGGCACGGAGGCCUUUUUGUCCCCCGUUUCUUGUAGGCAAGACUCCAGCCUCCAUGACCUUCCCUGAGUUCCAAAGGGCAGCUUCAAACAGUUACUAAUCAAGAGAGGAGCAGCCAAGAAACCACCUGAGACAAGAUUAAAGGGACCAGAGAAGCUCAUCAAGACUAGGAGACCAAGCACCUGAGACUCUGAGACCCUGCACCCUAAUCUUGUCAGCACCCCCACCCUUGGGAACUAUUGUCAUAAAACUCCUCAUCAAAUCCUCCUGGGUUGGGACACAUAGUUUUUCGAGGCAGGAGCCCGCCGUAUCCCCCUUUGCCUGGCGAAGUAAUAAAGCUAUCCUUUUCUACUUCACCCAAAAGUCUUGUCUCCAAGAUUUGAUUUGGCACCAGUGUACAGAGAAGCUGAGCUUUCGGCAUCAAAACCCCUCCCUCCUCCCAUGGGACUUCCCUGGUGGCGCAAUGGUUAAGAAUCCGCCUGCCAAUGCAGGGGACACAGGUUCGAACCCUGGUCCGGGAGGAUCCCACAUGCCGUGGAGCAACUAAGCCCAUGCACCACAACUACUGGGACUGUGCUCUAGAGACCGUGAGCCACAACUACUGAGCCCGCGUGCCACAACUACUGAAACCCACGCACCUAGAGCCCGUGCUCUGCAACAAGGGAAGCCACCGCAAUGAGAAGCCUGCGCACUGCCACGAAGAGCAGACCCCGCUCGCCGCAACUAGAGAAAGCCUGUGGGCAGCAACGAAGACCCAACGCAGCCAAAAAUAAAGAUAAAUAAAAAUAAAUGCGCUAUCAAGCCAUGAAAAGACAUCGAGGAACCUUAAAUGCAUGUUACUAAGCGAAAGAAACCAACCUGGAAAGACUACAUACUGUAUGACUCCAACUACAUGACAUUCUGGAAAGGGCACAACUAUGGAGACAGUAAAAAGAUCUGUGGUUGCCAGGAGUUAACGGGGAGGGAGGGAUGGAUUUGCAGGCCACAGAGGAUUUUUAGAGCAGUGAAAGUACUCUGUAUGACGUGUUAACGGAUACGUUUCAUUAUCCAUGUGUCGGAACCCAAAGAAUGCACAAUGCCAAGGGUAAACCCCAAUGUAAACUUUGGGUGAUAAUGAUGUGUAGGUUCACAGAUCAUAACAAACGUCCCUCUGGUGUGGGAUGUUGAUACUGGGGUUGGCUGAGUAUGUAUGGAGCCGGAGGGUAUACAGGAACUGUGUGCUUUCUGCUCAAUUUUGCUGUGAAACUAAAACUGCCCUUAAAAAAAGUCUAUUGGGAAACAAAAAGAGACUUGCAGGUUCAAAACUUGUCUGAAUUGUUCAACCUUUAGAGAAAAACAUAAACUUCAUGGUCAUUUUUUUAUUCAACUGCUUAGACACGUGACUGAUUAAUGACUAGGGACUUCCCUGGUGGCACAGUGGAUAAGACUCCACGCUCCCAAUAUAGGGGACUCAGGUUCAAUCCCUGGUCAGGGAACUAGAUCCCACGUGCAUGCCACAACUAAGAGUUUGCACAACUAAGUAGCCCACCUGCCUCAACUAAGACCUGGUGCAACCAAAAAAAAAAAAAAGACUGAGGCCGUUGUUAAUAAUAAUUAAUGAUUACAGUGAUUUUCCUUUGGUAAAACAUGGCUCCAUUAUAACUGAUGAACAACCCAAAUUAACUGUGCUACGAGUAAUGAAGCUCUAGCAACACAUUCUUGUAUCAGGGUAAUAACGCAAAAGGGUUAUUGGGUCAGAAUUAAGUUCAAACCUAGCUGAGUCACCUAAUACCUCUGAUUCCUUGGACCUCUGAACCUCUAUGAACUGCUGAUUUCUUAUUUGUAAAAUGAGGUUGUUACCUUAAAAAUGGAUUAUUACCUAAAAAUAGCUGGAAUAUAGGGAUCCAAAUGAUGUCAGGGGAAAAAUAAAACCAGUUUUGUUCUCAUGAAGAAAAAUUACAUACAUGAAUCUAAAUGUAAGUCUAAAAUGUCUAAAAUGUCUAAAAAGUCUAAAAAUCUAAGUCUAAAAUGUUAAUGAUGUUUUGGUGGUAGUAUUAUAGGCAAUUUUGUUAUUCAAACUUUUACCUUCCAAAUUUUCCAUUAUAAACAUGCAUUAUUUAUAUUCAAGAAAUAAACAUAUUUUUAAAAAUUCACA